UGUUAUUAGCUGCUCGUAUUGCCCAUCCAUGUUCCAUAUCAAUUGGCCAUUUUUGCUUCUUAUAAAGAUCUUUAGACAUGAGAUUUAUUUCAGAACCAUGGUCGACCAAAGCAACUAUUGGUUCUUCUAUAUCUCCUACCUUCACCAAUACCUCAGUAGUUGCUCUUGCCCAAUGCUUUCGAGUAUAAUGGCUCAAAGUUUCCAUUUCCUUGUCACUAGAAUCUUCGAAAUGUACUCACUGAUUAUACCCAUUCUUUUCAUUUGUUGGCUGCUUGUAACCAAUAUCAACCUCUUCUUCAUCUCUACAUAUUCUUGCAUCAAUAGCAUGACUCAUUCCAGUUUCGCUCAUUAAUUACAUCUUUCGCUUAAUGCUGUCAAUGAUAACAUCAUGAAACUCCUUCUUUGCAAUUUCUAAGACUUCUUUCAAUGUGAAUUCCACCUUAGCGUUUAAUAUACGUUCUUCCAACA
rnacentral:lncRNA from 1 species